CUUCGCCCUUAUCCAAGCAGCAGCUGCUUCCACAUAGAUGCUGUGGUCAAAAAGGAGCCCAGGGUGACAGUUUUCCUUUAGGGUUGCCAUUCUGUUUGCUGUAACUGAUGUGCAACAUUUUGGGAAAAGACAGAA